GAUGAACGCUGGCGGCGUGCCUAAUACAUGCAAGUCGAGCGAACAGACGAGGAGCUUGCUCCUCUGACGUUAGCGGCGGACGGGUGAGUAACACGUGGAUAACCUACCUAUAAGACUGGGAUAACUUUGGGACACCGGAGCUAAUACCGGAUAAUAUAUUGAACCGCAUGGUUCAAUAGUGAAAGACGGUUUUGCUGUCACUUAUAGAUGGAUCCGCGCCGCAUUAGCUAGUUGGUAAGGUAACGGCUUACCAAGGCGACGAUGCGUAGCCGACCUGAGAGGGUGAUCGGCCACACUGGAACGGAGACACGGUCCAGACUCCUACGGGAGGCAGCAGUAGGGAAUCUUCCGCAAUGGGCGGAAGCCUGACGGAGCAACGCCGCGUGAGUGAUGAAGGUCUUCGGAUCGUAAAACUCUGUUAUUAGGGAAGAACAAAUGUGUAAGUAACUAUGCACGUCUUGACGGUACCUAAUCAGAAAGCCACGGCUAACUACGUG
rnacentral:rRNA from 1 species